GUUUGCCUCUACUGCCAGCAUCCGACGGAUACUGCAGAACACACCAUUUUUUACUGCGCUCAUUGGAAACCAAUGUACAAGUUCGUGGGUAACCGAAACAUUACUCCAAGUGAUGUACAGGACAUGUUGUGUGGUCCCACUGACGUCCCGAUUUGCAUGAGCGAGCAAAUAAUGGCUGCCUCUCAACGCGCCACGUAAGCUUUUUAUGAAAUGGUCGAAGACAUUCUUAGCUGCAAAGAGCAAGAUGAGAGGCUAGCUGAGGCCGAAGCAAGAGCUGCUCUAAACGUCUGAGCUCCUUCCGUCAAUACAGCAGAACGGGAUGCCAGGCCUGCGGGUGCGCGCGACACCGGACCGAGAAUAGGAUCGAUAAACGGGAUCGUCAUCAUUUAUCUAUGGGACAUUUAUGUUGUAGCAUUUGGUGUUGUAAUAUGUAUAUUUGAUGUUAAGUAUUGUGAUUAUAUGUUUUAACGUUAUUCAUCAAUAAACGAUGGUAGCAGAGGAGUAGUAUUGAGCAAACAGAUCCUCCUCUGCUGAAGGUUCUAACUAAAAAAAAA